UCGUGUCGGUUUGGUUACGUCGCUCAUGCUCGCGCGGGGGUCUUUCCAUGCGUUCACGAUCAUACUUCGUUUAUGAUAAAACUUUCAACUAACUAGUUAAGUUUUUUCGACUCCUAGACGUCCAGAAGCCUUAGGUGGUGGUAAGUUAUGUCAUGUAGGGAGUGACAUGAGCUGUGAAGUUGAAUGUAGCUGUCAUGUGAUUGUGGAGCGUGUGCCGCUGUGAAGAGUUUGACCCAGUGUGGCUUGGGCUCCCAGGUGCAGUGCGUGUAGACUCCACCUCCCUUGGCUAAUUCCUCAGGGCAGUGUGCAAGGGACCUCCAAACAAGUAUUGUGUACACGAUGGUGAAUGUCGAGUGAGUUACCAAAUCUGUGGAUUCGUGAGAAUACUCUGUCCCUGCCGCGAGCCAAGAGAGCUAUGAGGCGAGUCGGAGAGUCUCCGGUGAGGGUGUUGGAGACCAACAUUGACCUCCCAUUGUCGGUGAACGGGGACUUGAAUAAGGGCCCCAAUGGGAACAAUCGCGGGGCCGUGCAUGAUCACCACCAUCACCACCACGACCAUGAAGCUGAAGCCGCUGCUCCCACCGACACAGUGCUUGCCCACCACCACCACGUCAAAUAUCCGCUGCCCAACGAUGACGACGACGACGACGAUAUCAAGGGCAAACCGGGCAAGCUACAGAAGAUGGCACACCGGCAUGGCCUGACAAAGAAGGGGCUGCUGCUCCUGUUGCUGGUUGGCUUUUUGUGCGUGGUGCAGCUUGUGGCUCUGCUGGUGAUGACUGUCCUCUGGCCCAAAGACCUCGAGCAACUCAAGACGGAGGUGUGCCUUACUCCGGACUGUCUGCGUGCUUCUGCUCAGGUGAGUGUGGGUGGCUGUCUGGCUGGCUGACUGGCUGACCGACCGGCUGGCUGACUGGCUGGCUGGCUGGCUGACGCUCUCUCUCUAACUUCCCUGGAUGGUGAGGGAAGGACGAAGCCGCUGGAGUUGGGUCUCCUCAGGUCUUCUCUGGUCUCCUCUGGUCUCUUCUGGACCUACACGUUAAUUAUGUAGCGGCGUGGCGGCGUCCCCGAGGUUGCCUGGUCCUGGUGUCACUGUUGUUGAAGCAUUCAUGAGGACGGCACGGCACUGUGAUGGGCGGGCCUCGCUGUGGAUAUUGCAUGAGGCGGGGAGGGAAUGCGGCAGACGGCGGAUAGGUGGGAGAGGAGGAAGUAUGGAUGGAAGGAGGGGUGAGUGGCGGUGAGGUCAGGUGUGAGAGUAAGUGAAAGUGGAUGAAUGAGGAAUGGAGGGAUU